rnacentral:rRNA from 1 species
UUGAAGAGUUUGAUCAUGGCUCAGAUUGAACGCUGGCGGCAGGCCUAACACAUGCAAGUCGAGCGGUAGCACAGAGAGCUUGCUCUCGGGUGACGAGCGGCGGACGGGUGAGUAAUGUCUGGGAAACUGCCUGAUGGAGGGGGAUAACUACUGGAAACGGUAGCUAAUACCGCAUAACGUCGCAAGACCAAAGUGGGGGACCUUCGGGCCUCAUGCCAUCAGAUGUGCCCAGAUGGGAUUAGCUAGUAGGUGGGGUAACGGCUCACCUAGGCGACGAUCCCUAGCUGGUCUGAGAGGAUGGCCAGCCACACUGGAACUGAGACACGGUCCAGACUCCUACGGGAGGCAGCAGUGGGGAAUAUUGCACAAUGGGCGCAAGCCUGAUGCAGCCAUGCCGCGUGUGUGAAGAAGGCCUUCGGGUUGUAAAGCACUUUCAGCGGGGAGGAAGGCGUUAAGGUUAAUAACCUUGGCGAUUGACGUUACCCGCAGAAGAAGCACCGGCUAACUCCGUGCCAGCAGCCGCGGUAAUACGGAGGGUGCAAGCGUUAAUCGGAAUUACUGGGCGUAAAGCGCACGCAGGCGGUCUGUCAAGUCGGAUGUGAAAUCCCCGGGCUCAACCUGGGAACUGCAUUCGAAACUGGCAGGCUAGAGUCUUGUAGAGGGGGGUAGAAUUCCAGGUGUAGCGGUGAAAUGCGUAGAGAUCUGGAGGAAUACCGGUGGCGAAGGCGGCCCCCUGGACAAAGACUGACGCUCAGGUGCGAAAGCGUGGGGAGCAAACAGGAUUAGAUACCCUGGUAGUCCACGCCGUAAACGAUGUCGAUUUGGAGGUUGUGCCCUUGAGGCGUGGCUUCCGGAGCUAACGCGUUAAAUCGACCGCCUGGGGAGUACGGCCGCAAGGUUAAAACUCAAAUGAAUUGACGGGGGCCCGCACAAGCGGUGGAGCAUGUGGUUUAAUUCGAUGCAACGCGAAGAACCUUACCUGGUCUUGACAUCCACAGAACUUAGCAGAGAUGCUUUGGUGCCUUCGGGAACUGUGAGACAGGUGCUGCAUGGCUGUCGUCAGCUCGUGUUGUGAAAUGUUGGGUUAAGUCCCGCAACGAGCGCAACCCUUAUCCUUUGUUGCCAGCGGUUAGGCCGGGAACUCAAAGGAGACUGCCAGUGAUAAACUGGAGGAAGGUGGGGAUGACGUCAAGUCAUCAUGGCCCUUACGACCAGGGCUACACACGUGCUACAAUGGCAUAUACAAAGAGAAGCGACCUCGCGAGAGCAAGCGGACCUCAUAAAGUAUGUCGUAGUCCGGAUUGGAGUCUGCAACUCGACUCCAUGAAGUCGGAAUCGCUAGUAAUCGUAGAUCAGAAUGCUACGGUGAAUACGUUCCCGGGCCUUGUACACACCGCCCGUCACACCAUGGGAGUGGGUUGCAAAAGAAGUAGGUAGCUUAACCUUCGGGAGGGCGCUUACCACUUUGUGAUUCAUGACUGGGGUGAAGUCGUAACAAGGUAACCGUAGGGGAACCUGCGGUUGGAUCACCUCCUU